AGUGAACGCUGGCGGUAGGCCUAACACAUGCAAGUCGAACGGCAGCACAGUAAGAGCUUGCUCUUACGGGUGGCGAGUGGCGGACGGGUGAGGAAUACAUCGGAAUCUACUUUUUCGUGGGGGAUAACGUAGGGAAACUUACGCUAAUACCGCAUACGACCUACGGGUGAAAGCAGGGGAUCUUCGGACCUUGCGCGAUUGAAUGAGCCGAUGUCGGAUUAGCAAGUUGGCGGGGUAAAGGCCCGCCAAGGCGACGAUCCGUAGCUGGUCUGAGAGGAUGAUCAGCCACACUGGAACUGAGACACGGUCCAGACUCCUACGGGAGGCAGCAGUGGGGAAUAUUGGACAAUGGGCGUAAGCCUGAUCCAGCCAUACCGCGUGGGUGAAGAAGGCCUUCGGGUUGUAAAGCCCUUUUGUUGGGAAAGAAAAGCAGCAGGUUAAUACCCCGCUGUUCUGACGGUACCCAAAGAAUAAGCACCGGCUAACUUCGUG
rnacentral:rRNA from 1 species